CAAAAAACUAACGAAUCCUUAAUAACUUUGGAAUUUUCUUCUAAUUGAUUGACAUCUCAAAUAAAAAGUACUUUCCUCGUCCUAUCCAAAAAUUAAUGCAAAUCGUGUGAUAUCCGAAGAAAAUCAGUUUGAAAACGUCGACAACUAUACCAUAUCUUCAAUAUAACGGAAAAAGGUGGAGCAGAAUUUGAAGAAGUCCUACACACCAUAGCAUCACACUAAAAGGACGACAUUUUACAAAAAGUCUUGUAAAGUGGCUUGAUUUGAAAUGUCCUCGAUUCCAACAGAAGACCGGAUGUAAGGAAUAAUAAAACAAAAAAUCGAGUGUGAUUGUAUGCGUACGGUGUAACAAGGUACGUGACUGAGGUCCAUCUAAAUGAAGUUUCAGUAAAUCCUUUUAUUCAUUCUCACACCGAACGUCGUCGUCUUUCUAUUCGGAUUGUAAAGACAACUCGGGGAUUUUGUUAAGAGUAUACGAAGAGAUAUACCUACUUGUUGAUUUCCUAUAUGUGCAGAAAUGCAGGAAAAUAUCCUUUUUUUAUUUUUCUUAAAUGUGAUUUUAUUACAACCCUCAAAACCAAGUAUGUUAAAAUCUUUUGAUUAUAAUUUAAAUUUUAAUUCGA